GUUGAAGCCAAAUGAAUAAUUCAUGGGGUUUAGGCAUAAUCAGGCUAUGUGCUUUGUGAGAUUCUCAGACGUGCAAAGGUUAAUUCUUUUGUUUAAAAAAAUAGCUCAGAUGGUUCUAUCCCCAACAGAAAAAUGCAGGUUGCCUAGGAUACCAUAUUAAACGGGCAGAAAGGUUCAGGAUGUGUAGACAUCCCUUUACAUGAAAUCAAAUACAUUCCAAAACUUAUUUAAUACAAUAUGCUUAUUUAUAUACAAAAAGACUUGUCUGAUCAAGUCUUCUUUUAAUUUUUCAAGAAAAUAACAAUACAAAAAGGGAGAGGAAUGGGGAGACUAGAGCAGAAUGAAGGUGAAGAAAUGUAGCCAGCGGGAGAAGGAAAGAGAAAAAGAAACUUCACUGCAAAUAUUUGGACUGAAGACAGAAAAAAACCUAUCCUGCAACUGGCUUUAUGCGGCUGGAUCAGCAAGUAUGGAGCUAACUGGGGCCCCAGUGAGGAAGAAAAAAAGCUAUACCAUUUUUUAAAAUUGAAUUAAAAUCCUUUUUGAUUCGAGGGACUUCACAAAUGAUUUUCCUUUUCCUACUAGUAAGCAGAAUAAAGAUGCACUAAUGGAAGGUGUUAUAGGAUGCAAGUAUCAUUUAAUUGCGUAACUGGAACUGUAAAGAGAGGCUGUGAUUGAGCACAUGAUUUUAGUCAUCCACAAUCUGACCAACAAGGAGGAACGGUUAGAGACUGUGAAGGUAAUUUGAGUGACAGUGAUCACCCAAGAAUUCUAAGGAAAGGAAGGAGUGAGAGCAGCAGAAUAAGGGGUGCUGUAUGGAAGAUACAGGAGGUAAUUGUCCCACUUUCCUCAGCACUGGUGAGGAUCCAGCUGGAGUACUGUGUCCAAUUCUGGGCACAAGAUGGAUGUGGACAUAUUGGGAAGAGUCCGGAGGAGACCAACAAAAUGAUAAAAGGUUUAGUAAACUGUCCUGUAAGGAAAGGUUGAAGAAACUGGGCAUAUUUAGUCUUGAGAAAAGAAGACUGAGGGGUGACUGAUAAGUUUCCAAUAUAACAGCUCUUAUAAAGAGGAUAGUGAUCAGUUGUUCUUCAUGUCCACCAAAGGUCAACAAGAAGUUAUGGUCUUAAUCUGCAGCUAGGGAAAUUUAGGUUACAUAUUAGGAAAAACUUUCAAACUACAAGGAUAGUUAAGCUCUGGAAUAGGCUUCCAAGGGUGGUCGUGGAGUCCCACCAUUGGAAGCUUUUAAAAACAAAUUGGACAAA